CAGCACACUGGGCUUGCUCAAGCCCCACCAAGACCUUUCCUAGAUGUGGAUGUGUCAGUACAGUGGUCUGUGUGUAAGGCUACACAUUUUUCAUACUUUGGGGAAUGAGUUUGAGAACCCCAGUGGGAGCAAAGGGGCUGAAAUUAUAGUGUGUUUCACAGCAACAGUGCAAAGUGAAAGAAAGGGGAUACACUCAAUGAUUUUCUUCUCUUUCCUUUAGCAGGCAAGAUGAAGCAACAGCUUUGGCUAAGCAUGAGAAUGUACACACAUUCAUUACAGCACGGCUCCAGCAGACUUUGGCUGACCUGGAUGAAGAUUUAGAAGCAGUGGAUGGUGUCAGUAACUCUGACUCUGACUACGCCAGUGAAGCCUUGAACCCACACAUAAGAAAAGUUGAGGCCACCCAAGAUGUUUCCAUUUCUGUUCCAGUAACAAUCAUAGAUGAUGCUCCAGAAAUUAGCACCUCUUACUCAUAUGAAAAUCAAGAGGUGGAGAUUAAGGUUUCACAGAAUGUCUCAGCGGACUCUGUUAAUGCAAGAAACUUCACAAAUAAAAACAACAAUGCAGGUUCCUUUGAUAAGGGACACACAGAUGGUGGAGCUGUAUACAAGGACCUAAUAUAUCAGCAACCAUCUGAAAAUGAAUUCAUUCACUUGC
rnacentral:lncRNA from 1 species